rnacentral:lncRNA from 1 species
AAAUGAUUGAUACUAUGUGAGGGGCAAAAAAACUCAUUGAUUGUUUAUUCUGGGAAAAGUCUCUCAUAAUAUUAUCAGAAAAAUAUUCAGAAAUAUGACAUUCAGAUCAAGGUAAAAAUACUUCAGCUUAUGAUUGCCUUUAGUUGAUUCCAGCUACUUUAUUCAGCAAGUGACCCUUGCUUCUAAUAAUAUGUAAACAAAGAUAGACAAAACAACAAAAUUAGUUUAUGAAUAAAAUAGCCAAUAUCUUACUUUUACAGAUUGAAAUUCAUUCUGAGUACCUUGCACAAAUUUAAAAAUAUAUCAUGAGUAACAACUUUUGUAAAAAUAUCUGUUAUUUGUUUAGCAGAGCAUAUGUUUUAAUUUCAUAUCAUCACUAGUUAUAAUGUCUCUGAUGAAGUGUAUAUCAGUCUCAAUGUAUUUGGACCUUUGUUUAAUUACUGGGUUUGACGCCAUAAAAAUGGCUGAAUUAAAGGAGUAUGAUCUUUAUUUAUUCCAAGAUCAUUACAAAUGAAAUCAUUCUACCUUAGUUCAGUUGCUAAUGAAGCUAGAGCUCUAUACUAUGCUUCUGCAUUAGAUCUAGAAACAAUUAUUUGUUAGGGUUUAGAUUACCUUCAACAAAGACACAAAGACCUGUGGUUGAUUUCCUAUUAUCUACGUCACCUGCGAAAUCAUAAUUUUAAUAUCCCACGAUUAUGUUUGAUUUUUGUUUAUUUUUAGAAAAGUGUAAUCCAUGAUUUUAAAUGAUUCAAAGUAAAAUAUCAGUAGAAACAAAAUCAGUAUAAACCAUAUCAGUAGGAACUAAAUCAUCAGUUGAAACAGAAAAUCAUUCAAAUGGAGGUUCUUUUAUACUAUGUAAAUGUACACUAAGUUGAAACUAAAUAAAAAAAAUAUAGAAAAGAACCUCUGAAAUAAUGAUAUGUGAAUAAUGAUUCAGUAGAAACUACUACUAAAUGUUCAUUAAGUAGGAACUAAAUCAGAAAAAAAAUAAAAAAGAACACCUGAAAUAUGAUAUUUUAAUAUCAACUAAAUCACAAAAACUUAUUCAAACUAAGAUAAUACUGAAAAUGAUUCAAAGUAAAAUAUCAAUAGAAAAAAAAUCAGUAGGAACUAAAACAUCAGUUGAAACAGAAAACCAUUCAAAUGAGUGAGGUUCUUUUAUACUAUAUAAAUGUACACUAAGUUGGAACUAAAUAAAAAAAAUAGAAAAGAACCUCUGAAAUAUGAUAUGUGAAUGAUUCAGUAGAAACUAAAUAUAAAUGUUAAUUCAGUAGGAAGUAAAUAAAAAUAUUUAAAAAAACCCUGAAAUAUGAUUCAAACUAAAAUGAUACCGAAAAUGAUACUAAAUCAGAAAAUUUGAUUCAAACUAACAUAAUACUGAAAAUGAUUCAAAGUAAAAUAUCAGUAAAAACUAAAACAUCAGUUGAAACCAGGGGCGUAUCCAAGGGGGCAAGGGAGGGCAAGCACCUCCCCUAAAAGUUGGAAAAAACGUAAGGACUUAUAUGUAAUAAUAAAAUUUAUAGGGGGUUAAAUAUAAUUUUACAAUAUAUUAAUAUUUUUUAGGGGUAGUUAUAUAAAAAUUUUUCAAUAUUUUAUUUACAAAUUCCUAUUUCCUAAUAUAUAAAUUUUAAAUAUUGUUCUCCCCCCCACGUAACCCCCCGUUCUCCCCCGUUCUCCUUCUCCUUGCUGGGAAACUUGCUGGAAAUCUCUUCUCCAGACUCUAGUUCUCCCUCCGUUGCUAACUUGCUAUUGCUUCUUGUUGGAUUCUCUCAUUUCUCUGGUAUUUAUUUGUUCUUAACUUCUGAUGGAUUUUUUUAUACAGAUGCUUCUGAAUUUUUAAAUUACCUAUGUUAAAUUGUUAAUUAUGAAUUGAAGAUCGAAGAUGGAUUUUAUUUUUAUAUAUACAGUCAAACAAAUGUCUAUUUUUUUUAUACAAAUGCUUCUGAAUUUUUUUUUAGGUUGACCACGCUUGCCUCUUGCGGGUCAGGGUUUUGUCAUUUCAUUUGUCGGAAGCUUAAAAAGAUCUUCAAUACCAAAGUCUGUUAUUUUUUAUUUAUUUUAGAAUUGAUUGAUUUAUAAUUUUAUGCAUUAUUUGUUAUAUAAUUUUAUAGUUCGAUUUAGAAAUGUAGGAUUGUAUUCUUAGAUUUAAGAUGAAUCUUAAUUCUUAAAUUAUAGAUGGAAAAAUAUUUUAAAAAGACAACUCUUUCUCCACAACCACAAGAAGAUAUUCCGGAAACAAGUAAAAGAAAACGAUUAUUAAUUAUGGAAUGAAUGUAUUGAAUUUUUAUAGGUUUUCAUAAUCGAAUUUAUGAAUAGGUUAUGCCAAAAUUUUUAUAGGUUUUUAAAUUAGUAAAAAAAAAUUUUUGCCUUCGGCGAAUCUUACCCCUCCUGUCAGGGAAUCCUGGAUACGCCACUGGUUGAAACAGAAAAUCAUUCAAAUGAGUGAGGUUCUUUUAUACUAUAUGAAUGUACACUAAGUUGGAACUAAAUAAUAAAAAAUAGAAAAAACCUCUGAAAUAAUGAUAUUAGUAGGAAGUAAAUUAAAAAGAACGCCUGAAAUAUGAUUCAAACUAAAAUCAUGAUACUGAAAUAGAAAAACUAAAAUCAUAAUACUGAAAAUGAUACAAACUAAAAUUUCAUUAGAAAAAAAACAUUAGAAACUGUAAAGAAGUUUAUCACACUACAAGAAAUAAGACCUUGUAUGGCGGUCUUUAGAUGGCGGAAAUCCGCCAUCUAAAGUGAUCCUCGACGGAAAUCCGCCAUCUAAAGACCGUCAUCUUGGACACCGCCAUUAAAACCCCUAAACCGCCAUCUAAAGACCGCCAUCUAUUAUCCAUCCCCAUUUCCCACCAAAAAUUGUAUUCCGCCAUCUAAUCUGAAAAUUUUCGCGCGAACUGAAAAGUUUUAGAUAGCAGAAAUCCGCCAUCUAAAAUAUGGCGCGGGAUAGGCCGAUGCUGGACGAACAGGUGGUGCUGGAUGAACCGGGAGAUAAAACCGAAAAGCAUCUUGGAGAUUGGGUGGUAGAGCCCUCCUACGAGGUAAUUGCUUCACUCUACGUGGCAUUUCUUAAAAUCUAAAAAAAUAUUUAAUUAAUUAAUUAAAUAUUUUUUAAACAAACAAAUAAUUAAUUCAUUAAUGAUUUCAUGGAAAAUUAAUGAUUAUUAUUUCAAUUUAAAAUAAUUCAAUUUAAUAAUUAUUCAUUAUGAUUUCUAUAAUUUCAUGCAAAUUAAUCAUUAAUAAUUAACAAAUUUAAAAUUUCAUACAAAUUAAUUUCAUGCAAAUUAAUUAAAUUGUAUUAAGAUUAAUUAAAUAUUUUUAAAAUUAAAUGAUUAAAUAUUAAUUAUUAACAAAUUAUUUUAUUUCAUGCAAAUUAAUUAAUAUUUAAUAAUUGUAAAUUAAUUAAUAAUUAUUUAAUAUUCAAUUUAAUAAGUCAAUUGUUAAUUUCAUGGAAAUUAAUUAAAUCAUUCUAUUCAUAAUUAAUUUACAAAUUAAUAAUUAUUUUUUCAAUUUAAUAAUUAGUUAAUUAAAUUUUUAUUUCAAUUGAAAAUUUAAUCAUUUCAUUUUACAAUAAAUUUAAUUAAUAAAUUAAAAAUUAGUUAAUUAAAGAAAUAAAUUUAAAUUUUUACCGCAAUAUAGCUUCCAAAUCCGAAUUUCACAAAAGAUCAGUUUUCAGAACCUACAACGUAUAAGUAUAAAACAAAAUAAUUAUUUUAAUUAAUUUUUAAAUUAUAUAAAACAAUAGAAUUAUUUAAUUAUUUCAACAAAAUUAUUAAUUAUUUAAUUAAAAACAGUAAAUCAAAUAAUUAAUUUCAUUAAUUUUAAAAAUAUUUAAAAACAGUAAAUUAUUUAUUUAUUUCAAAAUAUUAUUAAUUCUUUAAUUAAAAACAGUAAAUAAAAUAAAGAUUUUAAAUUAUUUUUAAAAUUAUUUAUUAAUUCUUUAAUUUAAAAACAGUAAAUUAUUUAUUUAUUUAUUUAAAGAAAAUAUUAAUUAUUUAAAAACACUAAUUUGUUUUAUUAAUUCAAUAAUAACAGUAAUUAUUAUUUUAAUUAAAUACACUUUCAUUUAAUUUAAAAACAUAAAAACAGUCAAUUAUUUAUUUAUUUAUUUAAAAAAAUUAUAUUUAUUCAUAUUUAAUUAUUAACAUAUACAAUACAUUAAUGUAAAUUGUUAAUUAAUUACUACUUUUUAAAAAAAUAACAUUCAAUUAAAUAAUUAUUAAUUAUUAAACAAUAUUAUUUUACAAUUUAAUAAAUAAUAAAACAUAUUAUUUUUUAACAUAAACAUUUAAUAUUUCAUUAAUAACAUAUUAAUUUUAUUGCAAUUAAUUACUUGAAUUCAUGCAAAUUAAUUAAUUACAUUCAAAAACACAUUAAUUAUUUUAUAUAAAUUUUAAAUUAUUUAAAAACAUAAAUUAAUUAAUUAUUUUAAUUAAUUUUUAAAUAAUUUUAAAACAGAAAAUAAUUAAAACAAAUUUAUUUCAUGCAAAUAAUUAAUUAAGAUAUAGAUUCAUGUAAAUUAUUAAUUAAAUUGAUAUAUAAUUACAAUUAUUUAAAUAAUUUAAAAAUAAGUUGAUUAAAUAAAAAAUUUAAUUAUUUUCUGUUUGAAAAUAAUUAUAUAAUAAAAUAAUUAUUUCUUUAAAUUCUUUCUAAUAUAUAAAUUAAAACAAUAUAAAAACAGUAAUUAAAUAAUUCAUUUUAAAUUAUAUUUACAAAUAUAUUAAACAUAAACUUUCACAGAUCGAUAUAUACCUUCGCAGAUGAAGAUCGAUACCUUCCCAGAUCAAUACCUUCACAAAUCGAUACCUUCACAAAUUAAUAUAUUGAUGAAGAUUAGUAUAUAUUAAUAAAUCAAUAGAAAGGAUUAGUACACUAAUUAAACAAACUAAAACAGUACAUAAACUAACUAAAAAAUACAAUAACUAAAUGAUGCAAUAUAAUUCCAAUUACUUGACAAUAAUACAUGAAAAUGUAUAAUUCAUUUAUAAAACAUUCAUAUAACACUAAAAUAACACUCAUUCAUCACUUAUUUGAGUUUGAUUAAAAGUAAUCACUUAAUUUAUUAACAAAUAAACAGUAGAUUAGUUGAUAAUUAACAAUAACAAACAAACAAAGAUAAACCCAAUCAUCAAAACAGUAGAUUCCAAUAACAAACAAACAUAGAUUAUAGUUGAUACUUAAAUAACAAACAAACAUAUCCACAAAAUAACAAAAUCAUAAUAAAAAAUCCAAAAAAAAAAAUCAAACAUAGAUAAUAUAUAUAGUAUAUAUGAUUCCAAACAUUCCAACACCAUAAAUCAAAAUCAAAUUUCCUAACAUUCAAACACCAUAAAUAAUUCCAUACAUAAAUAAACAAAUAAAAAAUACCAACAAAAAGAUAGAUAGAUAAAGAGAUCAAUAGAUUAGAAUGAAGAACAAAACCCAUCACAAAAACCAUUACAAAAGAUGGAUAGGUAAAGAUCAAAUGCAAUAAUAGAAAAUCAAAAUAUAAAAAAUAACCCAUCACAUACCUUCACAGAUGACCGGCGAGGUGAGGGGCAGCGCACGGCGAGGCGAGACCGACCGGCAGGAGCGAGCGGCGGCGAGAAAUCGGGAGUCGGCGGUCGGCAGUCUGGAUUUCGCGAAUGUGCGUUCUCUGUUCUGAUUUGGGGUUUUUAUUAAACCCCAAAUCUACUGUGAAAAUUCACUUAAGUUCCGCCCGGACUUAAGUGAAAGUCCGCCCAAUCGAAAUUUGGGCGGGCUUUUUCCGCCCGAGUCCCCGAAUACUUAACAUGGCGGACAUCCGUCAUGUUAAGUCAAUUUAAUCGGGUAAUCGGGUUCAAUAUUGGGGGACAUUCGAAAUUUUGGGCGGGAUAGUUUAGAUGGUGGAUUUCCGCCAUCUAAACACCGCCAUCGAAAAUAAAAUGGAACCGCCGUCGAGCCCAAACCUUACCUCGGCGGACUGAAAGAAUAGAUGACGGACAUCCGCCAUCUAAACAACUGAAGUAUUGAUGGCGGAAAUCCGUCAUCUAAAGGCCGCCAUACAAGGUCCUUUUUUUUGUAGUGUCAUUUUAUAAAAUCAGUAAAACCAUAUCAAAUGAAAUUAAAUGUAAUGUAAUCAAAUUUAUCAUUUUAAUAUCUAAGAAAGUAAUACAGAAGUUUGGUCGAUGUUUAAUAUCAUACCUUGGGACUGGGAGGAGAAGGAUCGUCUUUGCAGAUUCAGCGCUGGGAGGAGAAGGAUCGUCGGAAGGUCGCCUUUGAAGAUUCAAAGCGAUCGGAAUGGUGUGUGUGAUUGCAGAUUGAGCUCAUCAUUGGAUCGAUAGGACUGAAAAAAUGGAGUACACGUCAUUGGAUGUCGAGGUAAGAGAUGUUGAUAAAGAUGUGUUGAUCAUCCAACGGUGGGAUUGAUGAUAGUGUUGAAGAAACUUGAUCUUGAGGUUGGGUUUACAAAGAAAAAAAAAUCAACAUGUUGCUACUUGCGAUUCUUAUGCUGGAUGAUACAAAAAAAUAUGCAUCUAAAUGUACGUUGGCAUUUGUGGCAUUGUGGCAGGGAUCUGUAGAAGAGCUCCGGUAUCGUGGUGUGGAAGGUGUGAAGCUCGACGGGCAAAGGAGGAUCAGGUAUGUAGAGUUACAUUUUUCCAAUAUUAAGUAUAGGGUUGGAGAAUGUUAGGAAGGGAAACGGAUGUGUCCAUUUUCUAGAGUAUCUGGAUCUGAAAAUCAUGGUGGUCACCAUGAUGUGAACCACCAGAUCUGAUUGGAAUUAUCAGAUUUAAUUCUGAUCAGACUUAAUACUGUUAGGAUACACUAAUCGAUUCUGAUCGAUGAUUUCUUGUUUUUCUUCUUUUCGUUUUGAGUUGUAAAUUCAUUUUUCACUUAGAGAAAGGAUGCCUUAAGUGGUGGAUCCUUUAGUUGUUCUGGUAAGAAAAAGAAACACAUCGAUCAGAAAUCAAUUAAUAUAUCCUACCAAUAUACCAUUUACAAUCAUUGAUCGAAUAUCACCCCAAUAAACCAAUAACAAUCAUCAUAACAAUUAUUUCUGUUUCUGACCAGAACAACUAAAGGAUCCACCGCUUAAGGCAUCCUCUCUCUAAGUGAAAAAUGAAUUCACAACUCAAAACGAAAAGAAGAAAAACAAGAAAUCAACGAUCAGAAUCGAUUAGUGUAUCCUAACAGUAUUAAGUCUGAUCAGAAUUAAAUCUGAUAAUUCCAAUCAGAUCUGUUGGUUCACAUCAUGGUGACCACCAUGAUUUUCAGAUCCAGAUACUCUAGAAAAUGGACACAUCCGUUUCCCUUCCUAACAUUCUCCAACCCUAUACUUAAUAUUGGAAAAAUAUAACUCUACAUACUUGAUCCUCCUUUGCCCGUCGAGCUUCAUACCACGAUACCGGAGCUCCUCUACAGAUCCCUGCCACAAUGCCACUCUCUUCUUCUUGCUCUAGCCGUUUCCUUUCUUUCUCCCGUUGCCCUAGUUCUUCUUAAUUUAUUUACUUAUCCUCCUUUCCUAUUUUACCCUUAACUGGGUCACCCAUUAACCGGUUAUUACAAGUAGUGAACAAUUCUUUUUUAUUUGUGUUCAAUUGUUCAUGAUUUAUAGAAGCAUGUAAUUUUUGUUGAUUUUGGAAAUUUAUGUGUAAAAAAAUUCCAUUUUAAAAUAAGAUUUACUAGAUAUCUAACCAAAAGUAUUGGUGCCAUCAGAAAUUGUAAAUUUGGUAGGAUUUGCGAUUUUUGGCUAGUGAAAACACAUGUCAAUGGGACUAAAUAAGAGCGAUACUUGCUUUAAUUUCUUGGGAUUCUAGUUUCUUGAGGCACUAGAUUUUAGUUAUUUAGCAGCUGUUUAAGGACAAAGGCAAUGAACUCAGUUUGUUCCUUGAGGUGCUGCUUAUGUUUUUCUUUAUUGCUAUCUUUAGAGGACAC